GCGCGGGUAGCCAAGUGGUAAGGCAGAGGCCUGCAGAGCCUCCAUGCGGGAGUUCGAAUCUCUCUCCGCGCU
rnacentral:tRNA from 1 species